rnacentral:tRNA from 1 species
AGGGGUGUAGCUCAGACGGCUAGAGCGUCGGUCUCCAAAACCGAAGGUCGGGGGUUCAAUUCCCUCCACCCCUG